ACAUGUGUUGGGAGAUAAAUGGAGUUAACUGAGAGCGUGUGUUGAUAGUAAUUAAUCGGCAUGUAUUGUACACAGAGAGAACGACCUAGGCGAUCGAAGUUAAUUGUUUUAUAGAUAAAGAACGAAUGAAGCAACUGACCAUGCUGACAGCACCGAUCGCUUGUAAAUCACUAAAUGUUUCCGAGUGAUGCGUUAACCAUGGUGGCUACAGCGAAUGGCAAACAUGUAAAUGCAUCCACGCUUCAUGUCAAUCAGAAGUCGGAAUGCAAACGUUUUGCAUUGGAAAAAAUGUGGACCAAGAUAAAGGCCAUUGUCUUAAGAAAGAGAGCAUAUGUUUCCUGGCUGCAGAUUCUUUUACCAUGGACCUGAAUUUUAAGCACGCUUGUUGAAAGUU